GGAGUUAGCCGGUGCUUCUUCUGUGAGUGAUGUCCUUCCUGCCGGCUAUUAACCCGCAGGCCUUCUUCCUCACUGAAAGUGCUUUACAACCCGAAGGCCUUCUUCACACACGCGGCAUGGCUGGAUCAGGGUUGCCCCCAUUGUCCAAUAUUCCCCACUGCUGCCUCCCGUAGGAGUCUGGGCCGUGUCUCAGUCCCAGUGUGGCUGAUCAUCCUCUCAGACCAGCUACGGAUCGUCGCCUUGGUGAGCCGUUACCUCACCAACCAGCUAAUCCGACAUAGGCUCAUCCGAUAGCGCGAGGCCCGAAGGUCCCCCGCUUUCCCCCGUAGGGCGUAUGCGGUAUUAGCCUGGGUUUCCCCAGGUUAUCCCCCACUACCGGGCAGAUUCCUAUGCAUUACUCACCCGUCCGCCGCUCGCCACCAGGGAGCAAGCUCCCCGUGCUGCCGCUCGACUUGCAUGUGUUAGGCCUGCCGCCAGCGUUCAAUCUGAGCCAUGAUCAAACUACUGA
rnacentral:rRNA from 1 species